GUUUUGGUCUCAGUUCUUAAUAGAUGAUGGCUGAAAAUAUUCUCUAAUAAUUAGUUUGACUUUGCUGUUUGAAUAGAAUAUCGCUACUACAGGUAUGUGUAGCGAUGUUUCAAACGCACAGUUGGCUGUUUUUUCCUCGCAUCAGCGGUCACGCGCCCUUUCUGUCGUUGCACAUUAAUUAUUCCCACAGUCUCCGGAUAGGCUAUUAAUGCGUUUUUUUCGCGGUGCCCGCUGUCUUAAUGCGUUUUCCCAGUUUCUAACAAAGAAUUCACUCUGUCUCGGGCGCGUGAUGCACUGCAAAUUGAAAGAUGGCGCGAAAGAGCUCUUGAGUCGGCGCGGCGCGUUCAGGUGCACACACCUCCAGCAAAAACUACGCACUCAGCUCUGUCUGCUUCAGACCGAAUCAUUUUAGGUGCACGGAAGGGAUAACGCUAGGCACAUAAUCUCAACACGACAGUACGUUCAGCUCCUCUGUAUUUCCAAGGAAGACACGCAAAGGACUGCCAUGAGCUGUCGUGUCUAGUGACCCGCUGGCGAUGGGAUCUGACCGGCAUACUGAUACGCUCCGCCAGCAGCGUCAGCAUCGGGGAUCGAGACAGACGCAAGAACACCUCGCCGCGCCACUUUGGUUUUCGUUAGAGUUGCUCAUUUCUUUGCGUUUGUAGUAUUUUGAUGUUGGUCUCGUCGUCGCGCAUGCGUUGCUGUGUAGUUGAAAUUGCUGGAGCGCUUCUUCAGACUGAGUUUGGGCUACUGCUUCUCGGUCGAUGAUGAGAGGGAUGCUGGUCGCACGGGAUCACUGGCGCGCGGGGAUCUUGUGUCUCCUAGUGCUCGUGGCUUUGACGGUCGGUCGCAGCCCGCCAACGCACAGUGUAAAUGAACCAAGCAACAUGUCAUAUGUCAAAGUCACCGUGGAUAAACUACUCAAAGGCUACGACAUCCGUCUCAGGCCUGACUUUGGAGGUCCUCCGGUUGAUGUCGUUAUGAGUAUCGACAUCUCCAGUAUCGACAUGGUGUCAGAAGUGAACAUGGACUAUACCAUCACCAUGUAUUUCCAGCAGUCUUGGCGUGAUAAGCGCCUGUCCUACACAGGGAUUCCCCUCAAUCUUACUUUGGAUAACCGAGUGGCUGAUCAACUAUGGGUGCCUGAUACUUACUUUAUUAAUGACAAGAAAUCUUUUGUCCACGGGGUCACAGUGAAGAACCGCAUGAUUCGUCUGCAUCCUGAUGGGAAUGUGCUCUAUGGCCUCAGGAUAACUACCACAGCUGCAUGCAUGAUGGAUUUGCGGAGAUACCCGCUGGAUGAGCAGAACUGCACGCUGGAGAUUGAAAGUUAUGGCUACACCACAGAUGACAUUGAGUUCUACUGGCAGGGAGGACGUUCAGUGACAGGGGUGGACAACAUUGAGCUGCCGCAAUUCUCUAUUAUUGAUUAUAAAACACUGUCUACGAAAGCGGUGUUUGCCACAGGGUCAUAUCCUCGUCUGUCUCUCAGUUUUAAACUGAAGAGAAACAUUGGAUAUUUCAUCCUGCAGACCUACAUGCCUUCAACAUUGAUCACCAUCCUGUCCUGGGUCUCUUUCUGGAUCAACUAUGAUGCUUCUGCUGCAAGAGUUGCGCUAGGAAUCACCACCGUUCUGACUAUGACCACAAUCAACACUCAUCUUAGGGAGACUUUACCCAAGAUCCCUUAUGUGAAGGCCAUAGACAUCUAUCUGAUGGGCUGCUUUGUCUUUGUGUUCCUGGCCUUGCUCGAGUAUGCCUUCGUCAACUACAUAUUCUUCGGCCGUGGUCCACACUUGCAGAAGAAAGUGGCAGAAAAAGCUGCAAAAAGCAACAAUGGAAAGAGUCGGAUGGAGAGUAACAAAGUUCAGUUUGAUGUCCAUGGAAACAUUCCCCUGACAAACCUUGACCUGCGCCUUAGUGGAGCAGAGAUGUUAGGUGCUUUUGGGGACCCAAGGAACACCAUGUUCUCUUAUGAUAGUGCCAGCAUCCAAUACCGUAAGCCCCUUACAGGUCGGGACCUCUAUGGCCGGCCCACCGCCUCUGUCGAGAGGCCAGUGUCACGAAAAAAGAGUCAUCUUAGGAGGCGAGCCGCUCAGCUAAGGGUGAAGAUUCCAGACCUGACAGACGUAAACGCCAUCGACAAGUGGUCACGUGUCAUCUUUCCCAUCACCUACACCUUCUUUAACUUAGUAUACUGGCUGUAUUAUGUCCACUAGGGAGCAGCACUGACUCGACCCAGCCAUUCACACAUCAGGUCAGGCUCUCUUACCCUCCUUGUGGUUUUGACGGUCAGUCAGACAGGAGGAGGAGGUGCAUUCUGUAGUCAGUCUGCCAGGAACGGAUGUCCUUACAUCAGUAUAACAACACAUGGUGACAAGCAGGAUGUGAGUUUAAAGUCCACACAGUAUGGAAAUUUGUACAUUAAAAUAUAUCAGGUAUUGAAAGAUGAAUGAUGUCAUCAUGUUUUUCUCUACUUUUUCUUUUAAACCAAAAAAUCCUGCAUAUUUCAUUUAUAGCAGAAGUUGAGUUUUAUACUGUAAAGCCCAAUAUAUAAAAUCCAGAUUCAUUAGCAAGAGGUUAAAAGACAAAAGUGGUUUCAGGAAAGUGAUAUAUUAGUUCCUAUUGUUCAGUAUUUGACUCGGCAUUCCCAACAUUAUUGUGAUCGAAAUGUAGCUAUGAUUUUAGAUAUGAGCAAUGUUUUAGGGAUGCAGUUAUAUCUAUUUAUAUAGGAAGUGACUUCACAGUAUUUACCUUACACAUUUGCAUUUAGGUUUAUACUUUGCUAUUCACUGUGAGUUAUAUAUUAGCCAAGCUCACCAAAACGGCAGAUAAGACUUCUAACAAAUUAGAUUUUUCUUCUUUAUGGCUGAACUUGUGCCUUUUAAGAAAAAAAAAACAUGUAUUUUACAGGGUUUAGCAUGCAACAGCAGAGUAGAAAUAUUCUGAAUGGAUUUCCACUUUUCUAUAGAACUAAUAUUACUCAAGGGUAGCACACGUAAUCAAAAUCAAAGGUACUUUCAAGGCCUUUUCCAAUGCCCUGCAUUAAUAUUCACUAUAUUAUAAAUACACAAAAUGUGUUUGGCAUGUAAAUAAAUUGCUUGCAUUGCAACACUCUUUUUGUUUCAGUGACAAGUUGACUGGGACAUGAGCUGGUUUGUUUGUUGUCCAGGAGUGAAUUAACUUUACGAAAUUCUCCAUUAAAGCAAAAAUCAAAGAGAUCUCAAGACUGGCAACGUAAAAACAAAGCAUAUUCACACGUGCUCAAGCCAGAAUCAGAAACACAUAAAAGUGAAUUUAUAUGUAACUUUUUAUAGGCCAUCUAUCACUCAUACAUUGUGUUUUGGCUUGGGAUGC